AUGGUCCAGCAUUUGACAUACCAUCAUAGGCUUUCCUACAAUAUAGCCUCUAACAAAACCAGGCUGUCCCAAACCCCUGGUAAUAUAAUUGUUUACCUUUAUACCAAGAAGGUUGGGAAAGCACCAAAUUCUGCAUGUGGUGUGUGCCCAGGCAGACUUCAAGGGGUUUGUACUGUGAGACCUAAAGUUCUUAUGAGAUUGUGGAAAACAAAAAAAACAUGUCAGCAGGGCCUAUGGUGGUUCCAUGUGUGUUAAAUGUGUUCAUGACAAGAUCAAGCGUGCUUUCCUUAUUGAAGAGCAGAAAAUUGUUGUAAAAGUAUUGAAGAGUCAGAAAGCUAAAUAA
rnacentral:lncRNA from 1 species